rnacentral:lncRNA from 1 species
AAAUAAAAUCUGUUAUGUAGUCAUUCCAAAAAUUUCAAUCCACAAUGCAAAAUCACAAAAUAAAUCCACAAAAUGUAUCAAAAUUACACAAUAUUUAUAAAACAUGGCAUUUGAUCUUGAAGUUCCUUGCAAAUCUAAUCCUACAAAUACCAAAAAAAUUCAAAUUACAUAAAAAAAAUCACAAAUGAGUAAUACCAGAAAUUAGACAAAUUCAAAUGAAAUAACUCUACCAAUGUUUUCUUCACAAAACUCUCAAGACAUUGUAUAUUCUUUAAAUCCCCAAUUUAUGCUGCAGGGGAAGAAUCAAACAACAUUAACCAAAUAAACACUAAUCACUUUACUGAAAGAAUGAAAUAUAGCAAUUGUAACCUUAAUUGAACCUUGCAACAUUUAAAUUAUGAGCAAAUUAAGAAAGAAUCAAAAUGCAGCAACAUAGAAAUUCAAACUGGCUCGCAUAUGCAGAUAGAGUCAGAGCCAAAUUAAAGGGCUGAGUGAAUAUACUUGCGGCUUAGGGUGUAUUUUCUGGGAGACGCGGUGGGUUGCAGCAGCGACUGGCUGCCACGCGUUCGACGCGGCCAACAGUCAGACGAGCGACGGUGGUGCGAGCGGCUGCGGAUUCGUUUGCUGGUUCGUUUGACGGAGCAAGAGAGUAUCGUUUUGCAAUUUUCGGACCGCUUGGUAGCAGAUCUUUGUGAUGGCGGUAUUGAUUUCGUUUUUGGUAAAAGAGAGACUGAGAGAGAAUUUAUGGGGGCUGCUGUUUGUGGACGGAAGGUGAGGCCGUCGGCGGAGGCGGCAUCUGCCAAGGGCAGAAAGAAAGAAGGCGGCGGCGGUGGAGACGGUGGAGACGGAGGGGGAGGGGCGGGGACCUGGGCGCCGAUCGGGGAGGGGCUCGGCGCGGCGGAGAUGGUAGAAUGGGUGGG